AACGAACGCUGGCGGCAUGCCUAACACAUGCAAGUCGAACGAGGGUUCCGCUUCGGUGGGGCCCUAGUGGCGCACGGGUGAGUAACGCGUGGGAACCUGCCCCGUGGUACGGAAUAACUCCGGGAAACUGGAGCUAAUACCGUAUGCGUCCUUUGGGACAAAGAUUUAUCGCCAUGGGAUGGGCCCGCGUAGGAUUAGCUUGUUGGUGGGGUAACGGCCUACCAAGGCAGCGAUCCUUAGCUGGUCUGAGAGGAUGAUCAGCCACACUGGGACUGAGACACGGCCCAGACUCCUACGGGAGGCAGCAGUGGGGAAUAUUGGACAAUGGGCGCAAGCCUGAUCCAGCAAUGCCGCGUGAGUGAUGAAGGCCUUCGGGUUGUAAAGCUCUUUCGCACGCGACGAUGAUGACGGUAGCGUGAGAAGAAGCCCCGGCUAACUUCGUGCCAGCCGCCGCGGUAACAC
rnacentral:rRNA from 1 species